rnacentral:rRNA from 1 species
CCUACGGGUGGCUGCAGUGGGGAAUAUUGGACAAUGGGCGAAAGCCUGAUCCAGCCAUGCCGCGUGUGUGAAGAAGGCCUUCGGGUUGUAAAGCACUUUCAGUGGGGAAGAAAGCCUUGGGGCUAAUACCCUCGAGGAAGGACAUCACCCACAGAAGAAGCACCGGCUAACUCCGUGCCAGCAGCCGCGGUAAUACGGAGGGUGCGAGCGUUAAUCGGAAUUACUGGGCGUAAAGCGCGCGUAGGCGGUCUGAUAAGCCGGUUGUGAAAGCCCCGGGCUCAACCUGGGAACGGCAUCCGGAACUGUCAGGCUAGAGUGCAGUAGAGGAAGGUAGAAUUCCCGGUGUAGCGGUGAAAUGCGUAGAGAUCGGGAGGAAUACCGGUGGCGAAGGCGGCCUUCUGGACUAACACUGACGCUGAGGUGCGAAAGCGUGGGUAGCAAACAGGAUUAGAUACCCUGGUAGUC